AAAGCGAAUAGUGAAAUCUGGGGGCUCAACCUCACAGGCUAUUAUUCGAACUCACAAACUCGAGAGUGGUAGAGGUAACUGGAAUUUCUAGUGUAGGAGUGAAAUCCGUAGAUAUUAGAAGGAACACCAAUGGCGUAGGCAGGUUACUGGACCAUUUCUGACACUGAGGCACGAAAGCGUGGGGAGCGAACCGGAUUAGAUACCCGGGUAGUCCACGCCGUAAACUAUGGAUACUA
rnacentral:rRNA from 1 species